GGCUAUUCCAAAUGCAGUGGUGUUUACAAACUAAUUGAUCACCAGUUACAGAUUCCUUUGUUCCUUCUCCACUCCUACUGCUUCACUUGACUAGCCUUAA
rnacentral:Y_RNA from 1 species